GGCUCAGUAGCGUAGUGGUGAUCGCGCACUUUUCGGGCGAUUCUGUCCAUCUCUAACAUGAGAGACUAAGUGAGGUCCUGGGUUCAAAUCCCGGCUGAGCCC